rnacentral:rRNA from 1 species
CAGAAGUGCGAAUGCUGACAUAAGUAACGAUAAAGCGGGUGAAAAGCCCGCUCGCCGGAAGACCAAGGGUUCCUGUCCAACGUUAAUCGGGGCAGGGUGAGUCGACCCCUAAGGCGAGGCCGAAAGGCGUAGUCGAUGGGAAACAGGUUAAUAUUCCUGUACUUGGUGUUACUGCGAAGGGGGGACGGAGAAGGCUAUGUUGGCCGGGCGACGGUUGUCCCGGUUUAAGCGUGUAGGCUGGUUUUCCAGGCAAAUCCGGAAAAUCAAGGCUGAGGCGUGAUGACGAGGCACUACGGUGCUGAAGCAACAAAUGCCCUGCUUCCAGGAAAAGCCUCUAAGCAUCAGGUAACAUCAAAUCGUACCCCAAACCGACACAGGUGGUCAGGUAGAGAAUACCAAGGCGCUUGAGAGAACUCGGGUGAAGGAACUAGGCAAAAUGGUGCCGUAACUUCGGGAGAAGG